rnacentral:tRNA from 1 species
UGGCUCAGUGGUAGAGUGCUUGCCUAGCAUGCAUGAGGCCCUGGGUUCGAUUCCUUG